GGGAACUGGCUGGCACACAGUGGAUCUCUUCCUUAGCUACCUCCUGGUAAUUCCCGGGAAUAUGUCUUCACACCUAGAAGUCAGACCACCCUGGGUUGCUGAGAUGCAGAAGCUCGCCCAGCAGCUUCACAGUGUCCAGGGGAUUUUUCUAGAAAAAAAAAAAAUGUUGCGAAUGAACCUCCAUUGUAUUUGCUUUUAUUUGUAGCACACAUAUGUAUAGCACCUAAAACAUGAUGCUAGAAAUAAACAUCUGUAUUAGAAACUUCUAAA
rnacentral:lncRNA from 1 species